UUCCCUGGGAGUGUGGGGGCCUUGUCUGAGGGUAGGGGGCUAUCCACCUUGGCCCCUGCCUCCUCUUCAUCGUCAUCCAUGCUAGGCCAGACGGACUGGUCCUCCACUCUCUUCAGCCGCUCAUUGAGGGCCUUCAGGGCCAGUUGCCUGGAGCCAGAGGAAAGAUGACAAGUCACUUUGGGUUUGGAUUUGGCUCAUGCCCUAUACAUUUCCCCAUGAAGCUGACUCCUCCUACCACCCAGACUUCUCUCAGAAUCCUGUGCAGGGACUGGACAGGGCCCAAUCUGCCAUCAGAAGGAGGAUUCAAAGGCUAUAUAGAGCCUUCUCUUCAUAGGGCAAUUCCAGGCUGAGAAGGCCAGUAGGGUGUCUGGCAGACUGCCCAGCAGGCCAGGCUCAGGAAUGAUUCUAAGGGUGGUGCCUAAGCAUGGACAAAGCUGGUAACCCAAGGAAGAUGGGUGGAAGGGUAAGUCACUUGGAUGUGGACACUAGCAUCACAUCCAAGGAGAGGGUUAUUACUUCUUUCUCUCCUUGUUAGGUGUGUUUUGAGUCUCUUGGCAAGGGUUGAAGGGGAAUGCUGGAACUCAAGCACCUAUGUUGGAUCUCAAUCUGGGAAGCAGGGCCAACUUAGGUCAGCCCAUCCUUCCUGACUAAUGUUCUCCUACCCCAAAGCCACCAGGACCCGUGUUAGAGCAGGAACAUACCAAGUGCUUGGAGAAAAGAGGAGGAACAACGUAUGUGUAUAGAACACAAGCCAGAGCCUACUGGUUCCAAUGGACAAACCCUUUUGGACCUCACUUUGAGGGGAGGUGGGAAAGUUGACUGGAAGGUAUACAUGUGUGCAUGUGACCCUACCCAGGAGGUGGAAUGCCCAUGCUGCCAGGUAAUACUUCCAACAGUGGUUACUGUGGAACCCUGAUGUCUCACCCUGUCUGUGCUGUAGGUAUGGGGGACAGCCUAUAAUAGCCUUCUAAAUUCCAACAGAGAAGCAAAGCCUCCAACGUGUCAGGAAACAUGACAGGAAAGGCAACAAGAACAUGGGCACAGAAAACCCUAGCACAAUUCCACCGUGUGCUCCAGCCUGACACAUGGCAAAUUGGCACAGAAAGGACGGUUCUUCCCCAUGCUACCCAGGCUCCCAUCUUGGAGACUGCCUUGCAAUUCUCUCUAAAGCCUGCUAAAAUGGAGAGACAGUGGCAUACUAAUAACUUUCUCACAACGGUCAAAGAUAGGAAACCCUGCCUCCCAUUACUAAUAGCCCUUUGGGCUUGGGCAUGGCAUGCUGCCAGAUGCCCAACUGGUUGGAGAAGUAACAACCACAAGGCUGUGUCAAGAACCUGCUCCCUGACAACCUUCUGUACCCCGGUCUGCCAUUUCUUGGGCCAAAGCAGAGGUGUUUUGAAUUUCCAGCCAACUCUAGCAAUCCAAGACUCACUAAAGGAGGAGUCACCACUGGGAGCUGCAGAGCUCUGAGGACAGCUCAGUUUCUAUCAGGUCUAGCCCUCUUGGUCCUACGUCUCCACUGGAUAAAGUGAAGAUAGAGCUCAGUCUUUACGAUUCAUCAGCUACAGAGACACCAUAGGGCCCACAUACUGACCUGCAGCAUGCUUUGUGUGCUUUUCAACACCCACCACUUUAGGCAGUAGUAAUCUGUGGCCCUUCCCCAGCUGGAAACUCCUUCAAGAAAGGGGUGUGUCUCAUGCUCUACUCCACCGCCCAGCGGAGAGUAAGCACAGGGAUAACCUUUCAGCUUAAUUCAUAAAGCUGCCUGCCAAGAAUCCAUUUCACAGGUGAGCAAAAGUAGAAGCCUUUGACAAACCAGAAAGUAGGAACAGAGCCUGCUCCAGAUUUUGCUACUAAAGUAACUGCCUCAAAAUACCCCUCAGCGAUAAUGUUGGAAACGGAGUAGUGACAACUCUGGUGCAUCCAGUGAAUAAUUCAGCUGGGACUCCAGAUGGUGCAGAUGGCUUAGUUUACAGGAAAGCACUACUGGAGCCCAGCAUGUAAAUGCCGAGUUUCUCAAGGCCACAAACCAGAUUUUAUCUCCUGAGGCUGCCCCAACACCUGACCCUUGGCUGCCAGUCAACACACAGCAAGCACAACAGAUGGAAUGGGACUUGAUCAAUAAAAAGUCUCUUAGCUCAGUAAGGUUUUGGAAGACUCCACAGUACCUUCUCCGCUCUGCGUCUUGAGGGUCUGUGCCUGGGAGGCUGAUGGUGAUGGAAGAUGGGGCACCUACAUCAUAGCGCUUCACUGUCUUCUGGCAUAUCUUUACCUUCACCAGGAGGCCGUGCACCAAGUUCGCCAACAGCCCCACCACAGGCUGCAGGAUCUCAGGAAAGAAGGUGGCAAAAGCAAAGUGGUCAGCCAUAUCCCCUCGGCCUCGGCUAUGGCGCUGGUAGAAGCGAAGAUACACCCAGCUGGAGAGCAGCCCAAAGCCAUAGGAGGCCAGCGCUGGGCUCUGGAGCAGCGUGGCCAGCCGCAGCAGCAGCAGCAGCCCCAAAAGCAGCAUGGGCACCACGCUGACGCGCACCUGCGGCACACGCAGGACCACGCAGUCCCCCAUGGUUUGCUUGAGUGCCACCAGGACACCACCUAGGAAGCCCAGGGCUCCGUGGAUGCGGAUAGUGAAAAGGUAGACCAAGUUGAAGGAAGCCAUGUAGGUGAGGAGGUAGGCGAAGGCCCCCAGCAGCCCCACAGACACGUUCACCACUGAGAAGAAGAUGAGCAGCUCCAGGGCCCCCCAGAGGGGCUCCAGCAAACGUCCAGCCACCACCACUGUGGCCAGGCUGAUGGCCACAUCCCACACGUGCUGUUCCAUCAGCCCAUGGGUGGCCAGAGUCCAGAUCCAGAAAUUGGGCGGAAAGAGGUAGCCUGGGGUGACCGCCAGGCAGCCCGUGUCCACGGCAAAGGACAGCAGAUAGAGGAAGAGUACUGCCGCGCACAGGGUCUUUACCACCAC